rnacentral:rRNA from 1 species
AUUGAACGCUGGCGGAAUGCUUUACACAUGCAAGUCGAACGGCAGCACGGGGGCAACCCUGGUGGCGAGUGGCGAACGGGUGAGUAAUACAUCGGAACGUGCCCGGUCGGGGGGGAUAACGUAGCGAAAGUUACGCUAAUACCGCAUACGAUCUGAGGAUGAAAGCGGGGGACCUUCGGGCCUCGCGCGCUCGGAGCGGCCGAUGUCGGAUUAGGUAGUUGGUGGGGUAAAGGCCUACCAAGCCGGCGAUCGGUAGCUGGUCUGAGUGGACGAGCACCGACACUGGGACUGAGACACCGCCCAGAGUCCUACGGGAGGCAGCAGUGGGGAAUGGUGGACAACGGGCGCAAGCAUGAUACAGCCAGCCCGCGUGCAGGACGAAGGCCUUGGGGUUGUAAACUGCUUUUGUAUGGAACGAAAAGGCUCUGGCUAAUACCUGGGGCUCAUGACGGUACCGUAAGAAUAAGCACCGGCUAACUACGUG